rnacentral:misc_RNA from 1 species
GAUGAAGAACGUAGCGAAAUGCGAUAAGUAAUGUGAAUUGCAGAAUUCAGUGAAUCAUCGAAUCUUUGAACGCACAUUGCGCCCGCCAGCAUUCUGGUGGGCAUGCCUGUUCGAGCGUCAUUUCAACCCUCAAGCUCUGCUUGGUGUUGGGGCCCUACGGUUGACGUAGGCCCUUAAAGGUAGUGGCGGACCCUCUCGGAGCCUCCUUUGCGUAGUAACUAACGUCUCGCAUUGGGAUUCGGAGGGACUCUUGCCGUAAAACCCCCAAAUUUUCUAAUGGUUGACCUCGGAUCAGGUAGGAAUACCCGCUGAACUUAAGCAUAUCAAUAAGCGGAGGA